rnacentral:rRNA from 1 species
GACGAACGCUGGCGGCGUGCUUAACACAUGCAAGUCGAACGGUGAAGGGGUCUGCUUUUGUGGGCCCUGGAUGAGUGGCGAACGGGUGAGUAACAUGUGAGUAACCUGCCCCCUUCUUCUGGAUAACCGCAUGAAAGUGUGGCUAAUACGGGAUAUUCUGGGUCUGUCGCAUGAUGGGUCUGGGAAAGAUUGCGCCUUUGGGUGUUUUUGGUGGGGGAUGGGCUCGCGGCCUAUCAGCUUGUUGGUGGGGUGAUGGCCUACCAAGGCGGUGACGGGUAGCCGGCCUGAGAGGGGGGACGGUCACACUGGGACUGAGACACGGCCCAGACUCCUACGGGAGGCAGCAGUGGGGAAUAUUGCACAAUGGGCGCAAGCCUGAUGCAGCGACGCCGCGUGAGGGAUGGAGGCCUUCGGGGUGUAAACCUCUUUCGCCAGUGAAGCAGGCCUGCUCCUUGUGGGUGGGUUGACGGUAGCUGGAUAAGAAGCGCCGGCUAACUACGUG